rnacentral:rRNA from 1 species
GCGCAGCAGUCGCGAAAACUCCGCAAUACACGAAAGUGUGACGGGGCCAUCCCGAGUGCCAUCCGCUGAGGAUGGCUUUUCCCCAGUGUAGAUAGCUGGAGGAAUAAGGAGAGGGCAAGUCUGGUGUCAGCCGCCGCGGUAAUACCAGCUCUCCGAGUGGUGGGGACGCUUAUUGGGCCUAAAGCAUCCGUAGCUGGCUGGACAAGUCCCCUGUUAAAUCCAACGAUUCAAUCGUUGGACUGCGGGGGAUACUGCCCGGCUAGGGGGCGAGAGAGGCCGACGGUAUUCUCGGGGUAGGGGUGAAAUCUUAUAAUCCCGGGAGGACCACCAGUGGCGAAGGCUGUCGGCUAGAGCGCGCCCGACGGUGAGGGAUGAAAGCUGGGGGAGCGAACCGGAUUAGAUACCCGGGUAGUCC